rnacentral:rRNA from 1 species
AUUGAACGCUGGCGGCAGGCCUAACACAUGCAAGUCGAACGGUAACAGGAAGCAGCUUGCUGCUUCGCUGACGAGUGGCGGACGGGUGAGUAAUGUCUGGGAAACUGCCUGAUGGAGGGGGAUAACUACUGGAAACGGUAGCUAAUACCGCAUAACGUCGCAAGACCAAAGAGGGGGACCUUAGGGCCUCUUGCCAUCGGAUGUGCCCAGAUGGGAUUAGCUAGUAGGUGGGGUAACAGCUCACCUAGGCGACGAUCCCUAGCUGGUGUGAGAGGAUGACCAGCAACACUGGAACUGAGACACGGUCCAAACUCCUAAGGGAGGCAGCAGUGGGGAAUAUUGCACAAUGGGAGCAAGCCUGAUGCAGGCAUGCCGCGUGUAUGAAGAAGGCCUUCGGGUUGUAAAGUACUUUUAGCGGGGAGGAAGGGAGUAAAGUUAAUACCUUUGCUCAUUGACGUUACCCGCAGAAGAAGCACCGGCUAAAUCCGUG